AGCUGCUGCUUCACCCACCACCACACCGCCGCCCCACGCCCUACUCACCACCACCUCUUGGCCACCGAACCACCACCACCCACCGCUCGUCCGACAAGCCGUCUCGCCGUUGAGCCCGACGAGCUGUCGCGCCGUCCGCGCCGCUCCUCGCCGCCGUCCCCAAGCCACUGUCACCACCUCUUGCUGCCGCUCGCUCGGCCGUCCAGGCCGUUGUUGCUCCAAACCGCCACCGCCACCGCCUCCGCCAGAACCGAGCUCUUCCUCCGUCGGGGAAGUUGAAGCCCUCGAAGAUCGAUCUGGCCUCGAACGAUUCGAUGGCGAAGUGCCGGUGGCCGGGCUUCGCGAACCUUGCUUGCGGCUUGAUGAAUGGGAUGGCCUCGUCGAGGUUCCAGUUUGCCGCCUCCAUCUCGCGAGCCAUGGCUUUCGCGAAGUGCCUCACGGAUCGUAAGGCGUAGUGGAGGGCUUGGGCGAAGUGUUUCUGGGUUUGUCAUGAUGAAGAAAAAAAUUCUGCAGUAACUCUGUUCUGCAGAUUGGCCAAAGAGCGAAGAAUCAAGAAUUCCUGCCGGAUGCUGUUUUGGUUUGCAAGUGUAACGACAGCCAAGAACAGAAGAUCAUGGAAGGCAAUUCAAAGACAAGUGCGGAAGCUAUGUCAGAACCAUAAGGGCUCUGAUACCAUAUCAAAUGCAGUGAUUGCUCAAGAAGCGAAAAAGAGGCCACAAGCUUCAGAGACUCAUCGCCCUAUGUACAAGAGAAGAUAAAAAGGUAUCGCAUGGUGAUUUGUCAUUCUGCUAUUCGAAGCCACAGAUGAUGACAAGGAUAUCUAAGGAGAACAGACUCAGAGCAUCAACCAAAUUCUUGCCAAAACCAAUUACGUUUGGUAAAUCUCUCUUCAUUUCCUUUCUAAAUUGGUAGAGGGGGUGGGCUGACUGUACAGAGAAUGGUAGCAAAAGAUUCUAUACAAUGCUCUUGCAAAAUAAACACGACAAGCAGCACUAAUGAGGCAUACACUUGCUGCUGGUGUAAGAGACUACUGGAAUCUCACUAAGGUAUUGCAAGGAUGGACUAGAAAACUGCCAAAAUAUCGACAAUUAAAUGUGAUAACCAAAUA